UUGCCACAUACCUUGAUAAAUUGUUUAAGUCAGUGCUGCUUGGCCUAAAGGUGGCUUUCAGAUGGGAAAGGCUAAGUGCUGAAUGUUAAACAUAAUUUUGGCUGGAGCUGAAGAUGUCUACCUUCAGUAGUUACCCCGGGCUUCUGAGGCUUGUAGGGACUGCGGACUAAAUGAGACACAAAGAAGAGGCAAAAUUGCCUGGGAUAUUUUGUUUUGCUGUCUCAUGCAAACUUGACUGAGAAGAAAUCUGUGUGUGCAGUGUAUAUGCAGGGUGAAAGCUAGAAGGAUGGAAAUAAGGAGAAAGUAUCUGCAGGGUGCAGAACGUCCUUCAGGUCUGUGGUUGGACACCAGGGACAGCUGGUUCCUUCUUUAAAGAAGACCAAUUGAGCCUUCAACAACCUACACAGCAAAGGGAACAACUGGUAAAAAAAGACAUUUUACAAUGAGUUCUGCAUUCACUGUUGCCUGCUUGGCCCUGCCACUUGGACAAUAUUUAGAGUUUUGAAGUCUGGCUCCCAUUUGGAGGCAAAACCAGUAGUGCAAGAUUGAUAGGCCUUUGCCAUGACAAGAUUUGUUGUACUGACCACAGGGGGCUCUUCCUUAAGAGUACCACAGCCUGGUUCCCACAUGGAUACACAUGCACCUGCCUAUGUCUCCCUUCAGAGGUCCAUGAAACACAUGGGAAAUUUUUUGCCUUCCAUGUUAAUGAGCAACUGGAGAAACAGAACUUUGUCAUUGGGACAGAGCAAUCCUGACUUCUCAAGACAGUAUCAGCUCUUUGGAGAGGAACAGAAAGCUACACUGGUAAUGCCAGUUAUUCUUCUGGAGCAUGGUUGGUGUGGGACACAAUCUCGGAUGGUCUGGAGUAAAACAUCCUCAUGCAGGAGCUCACUGUCUCAG